rnacentral:lncRNA from 1 species
AAGAAAUGAGAGCUCCAAGGGUCUAUUUCCUAUCGCUGACUCCUGGUUUCACAGCUUACCACAGCGGCCUUUGGUUUAUUUUUAUUCAGCAUCUAGAUCCAGGAAAGCCCUUUAAUGAUGUAAAUGAGCAACCCUAUUAGGUAUUCAAGCCACAAAUAAAUCCAUUCCUAUGUAUGGUUCUUUGGGUAAAGCUGAUAUCUUUUAUUAGACCAACUCAAAUAGUUGAAAAAAAUUCUUCUUUGUAAGCUUUUGGGCACAGACGCCCUUCAUCAGGCUGAGGAAGCAUCUGCAGUUGGCAUGUGCUCUUCCUGGAUGGAAUGGUCUGCAUGCAAGAAAGCCAGUCAGUGACACUGUAAAUUAAGGAGUCAAUGGGCUAUGUACAGCACUUGAAAGAGAAUCAGAAAUUUUUUUAAAGUUCAAGUUUCAGUAAAAAGAUUGCCAUUUUUUUUUGCAAAAAUUCAUAUACAUUUUCCCAGCUCCAACCAUCCCCUCUAGUUUCAGUUGUGAAAUGCAGUUAGCACUUGUACAACCAUUUUCACUUACAAAUACUUUAAGCAUGUUCAGAUCACUAUAAAAUUAGCAGAAACAUUCAGGAUUGUUUUACCAUCAGUUGUGCCACAGAUUUCCUGUGUGAUCUUGGCUUCUCUGUAAAUUGGGGAUAAUACUUCCCCAUAUUGCAAGGCCUUAUUUAUUUAUUUAUUUAUUUUUAGGAGGAAAUCACUGCUGCUCAAGAAAACCCUUGGAAUCAAUUGCAAAGGGCUGUAGAAGGCUAACGGAUUACAAUACUUUUUUGGACUCUUCAAAUUCAUUAGCUAACAACGGGAGAUCCAGCCCAGUUUAAAUUCAUUUCCAACGCAUGUUCCAGGUCAGACACAGAAAGGGCAGAAGUGGACCGGGGAGGCGUCCGAGACAUUAGAGCCAGGCUUGAAACAGCUGCCUCUUUCUCCAGCUGUGAAUUCCUGCAGGGGAAUUCCUCACUGCUAUAACAUUUUGGAGUCAGCGUCGCAGCUGCACCGCACCUUUGUGACCCUUCUUGAACAAUAUCUUUGCCUUCUACUUUUGACCCUUUCCUCCCCUCGUGCAAGGGCCCUGGUGCCAAAGGGACCUCUAUGUAGUGCUGCAGUGGCCA